CUUGGAGUGCCUGUUUGCGCUCAUCAGCAUGUGGGAGGUAGACGUGUGGAAGCCUGCAGCAAGGACCUACUUUAAAGUGCUUAUUGAUCAGCUUACAGAUCUCGCUGAAGUGCUGUUUACUCAGCCCCCGGAGUUCUACCAAGACCCAGCAGCCUUAGCCAGCAAACUGAGACCUUUCCUCAGACAGCGUGUCCAGAAGGUCUGUAGAGUGAACCCAGCACCCAAGGAGUCGUUUUAAUAUCCCUCAUCCCUCAUAGAGCAUCCCUUAUCAAUCUAUCCCUCUAUCCUUGUCUAUAUAGAUAACUGCUAAUAGUAAUUAGUAUAAAUAGUAGCUGCAAAUAGUAUUGUUGUAAAUAAACUUAUAGUUGUAUAGUGUUUAUAUAGUUUACUUUAAUAAAUGUUUUCAUUUGCUCCUAUUACCGUCUCAUUCUGAUUAUUUUUAGUCAUCAGUAUGUCUACUGUAUAACUGCAAUAGUGUGAAUGAGAGUACAUUCCUACACACCAUAAAGUCUGAUUUUUGUAUUUUGAAGACAAUUUGGCUUUAAGUUCCAAAAAAGUAUAUAAGGCUAUAGACCAGAAUUCUCACAUUUCAUUUCCAGAUAUUUACAUCUAGAUGUGUAAACAACAACCUGUUAUUUGAAAUCUCUUAUCUCACUGCCUUUUUGUUGGUGUCCAGUCUCUGUCAUUAUGUCUAAUAGGUGUCUCCUGUGCUUUGUUUA